CUAGCGAAGAGUUCUUCCGGUUGAAAAUGUCGAACCUGUCAUAGUUGUAAAUCAGAAGAAAAUUAGAUGCUUCUUCUAAAUCUCGACGAGACAAUACAGCAGGAAGACCUGUGUCUUUUGAGAAGACAGAAGAGUGUGAUGUGUUGCAAAGAUGGAUGGUUAUUUCUCAUGACACAGCCAGUAUUAACGGAAUAUAUCAUCGUACUUCCCAAAUAACAACAUGGUAUCGUCAAAAUAAGGAAAAAUAGAUGUUCAGUAAUUUCCUGUGGCACCCCAUUGGUUCAGAAGCGACAGCUGGUGGGGCACACAGCUGCUUAUAAAGGACGCAACUACACUUCCAUAAAUGCCAAAUUGGCCUCUCCGAGUGAUCAAAAUGUCGAUGAACAAGAGGAAGAAGACUCUCUUCUCUGGCUUCCUCCUGAUAGGAUUGGUGUACACGAUUGUGCAGUUGACUUACUACCAACAGGCCUACAGUCCAUUACGGGUGUUGGCUAAUGCAGAGAGUGAGGCAAGACGUUUACUGAAGUUUAUCACCCUCUAUCACUAUCAGUGUAACUCCACGAUAGGCAGUGGGAAUGGCACGGCAUGGAGGUUGUGUGCGGAACCAGAUGUUGGAGUAAAUACUGAUUCAACGCUGCCAAAAAUAGCUUAUUCCAUAGGACCAAUGUGGGACUAUGCAUUUGAGACCCUUCUGUCUAGAAACUAUUCAUUUCAACAGUAUAUAUUUUUGCAUUACUCCAUUCCCGUAGUCCUAAGAAAAUUAAAUGGCACUCAUAUCUUCAAGACAGUCAUUGUUCCAAAUGAUCCAGCUGACUUUGGUCGCAACUCCUAUGAGACUCAGACACUGAACAGUAUAACCAGGAAACUAGGCCACACCCACAUUGACAUCCUCAAGCUGGAGGCCUACCUGGACAUUAGUGAUUCACACGAAGUCUUGUUCUUCCUCGUCAAAGAUAACCUUCUCAGGGACGUGCAGCAGCUCCACAUUGUUCUCGAUAUAGAUAAGAUAGAUGAUGACUACCUGUACAACUGGUAUCGCAGCCUGUACGUGCUGUUCCACGAGGCUGGGUUCCGUCUGUACCACACGUCCGCGUCUGACCACCUGUGUCUCCAAGUCACCAUGAUGGAGUCCUGUCGUUACUUUAUGUCCUGGGUGAAGAACCCUGGACCCAGAACAUUCAUACUUUACCCCCCAGCCAUUGAUGGAUCAUAUGAGCUGGAAGAAAAGCGGAUAUUGGACUUCCUUGAACCCAGGGAGCCCAGUUGUCAUGACAAUUCAGAGUUCAUGGUGACAGGCACUAAUGGCAUUUCUCUCUGUGCUGACAUGAUUCAGAAGAAAUCUCAGAAGCCAUGCAACAUUUUCAUUUUCGGUGACAAGCCAGUGGCCCCACCCUCCUCCCUGUCCAGCUUCAAGUCAUGUACAGUCACCACUAUUUUGCCAAUCAAAAUGCACGACAGUUUCGACUUCAAAGUCAGAUCAAACAGUCCUCGGGACAAAUCAUCCUCCCAGACCGAGGUGAUUGUGUCUUUAUCUGACCUGGUGUCGAAACAUCUCCAUGCCAAGCACAUCAACAUCAUCUACAUCUCCCUCCCACACCUCUUCUGGGACAUCAUCACACCCAUGCUGGAUAUGGGAGCUCUUGAGCUUGUGGAUCAAAUCACCGCUGACAUUGUGGUGUUCGACUCUCUCACGGAAAGUAGUCCCAUGGACAUUCGCAGGAAGUACAGUGAACUCAAGAGAAUAGAAGCCUACAAAUUCAAACUGUACGAGAUCACAAAGUUUACUACCAAGACUCUCCACUUCCAGCAACAGAAGUCCUUAUUUGGAGCCUGCUGCUACAGAGUAUCGUUCAUCAAGUCCACAUUUUGAAACAGACAUAGAAAUACGAGGAAGAUGGAUGACUCCUGUGACAUCACAAACUAUUUAUUGAUAUCAUCUGAUCAUAGAUAUGUUUCCAGUCAUAAUUUCUUGCCAAAAUAGUCUAUUAUUACAGCAUCCACUCUCCUCUUAAUGAAUAAUACACAUUGACAGUAGUACAGGUGGUACUGAUUGGGCAGGAGGACUUAAGUGAGUCACACACUGACUUUAAUAGAGCCUGCUAAUCUCAUAUAUCCCCCAAAUGGCUUCCAUCACAUCUGCAGGUCACGUGAACCUCCACAGUGACCCUAUCAGAAUCUUGCCUUGCAGUAACAACUUUUGGUAGGGCAAGUGACCCUCAAAGCACCUGCAUGUUACAUGACCGCCAUUGUGGUCCCUAGAGCACCUGCAGGUUACAUGUCACCACAGUGGUUCGCAGAGCACCUGCAGGUUACAUGACCCCCAUUGUGGUCCCUAGAGCACCUGCAGGUUACAUGUCACCACAGUGGUUCGCAGAGCACCUGCAGGUUACAUGUCACCACAGUGGUUCGCAGAGCACCUGCAGGUUACAUGUCACCACAGUGGUCCCCAGAGCACCUGCAGGUUACAUGUCACCACAGUGGUCCCCAGAGCACCUGCAGGUUACAUGACCGCCAUUGUGGUCCCCAGAGCACCUGCAGGUUACAUGUCACCACAGUGGUUCGCAGAGCACCUGCAGGUUACAUGCCACCACAGUGGUCCCCAGAGCACCUGCAGGUUACAUGUCACCACAGUGGUCCCCAGAGCACCUGCAGGUUACAUGUCACCACAGUGGUCCCCAGAGCACCUGCAGGUUACAUGUCACCACAGUGGUUCGCAGAGCACCUGCAGGUUACAUGAACCCCAAAUAUGGCCACAAUAGCAAGUACUGAUAACAUGAAUCCCAACAAGUGUGUCCAGAGCACCUGCAGGUACAUUAGUCUCGUGGUGGAGCAGUCUGUGAUGUAAGCCUGGAAGGGUUUACAGAUACGUUCAGUAACCACACAGUCUUCAGGAACC
rnacentral:misc_RNA from 1 species